UACGUAGGGGGCAAGCGUUACCCAGAUUUACUGGGCGUAAAGCGCGUGUAGGCGGCUGGUUAGGUGUGAUGUGAAAUCUUCCGGCUCAACCGGAAAACUGCAUUGCAAACCGGCCUGGCUAGAGUGCAGGAGAGGGAAGCGGAAUUCCAGGUGUAGCGGUGAAAUGCGUAGAUAUCUGGAGGAGCACCAGUGGCGAAGGCGGCUUCCUGGCCUGCAACUGACGCUGAGACGCGAAAGCGUGGGGAGCGAACCGG
rnacentral:rRNA from 1 species